rnacentral:rRNA from 1 species
AACGAACGCUGGCGGCAUGCCUAACACAUGCAAGUCGAACGAGACCUUCGGGUCUAGUUGCUCACGGUUGCGUAACGCGUGGUAACCUGCCCUUAGGUUCGGAAUAACUCCCCGAAAGGGGUGCUAAUACCGGAUAAUGUCUUCUGACCAAAGAUUUAUCGCCUUUGGAUGGGCCCGCGUUGGAUUAGCUAGUUGGUAGGGUAAAAGCCUACCAAGGCGACGAUCCAUAGCUGGUCUGAGAGGAUGAUCAGCCACACUGGGACUGAGACACGGCCCAGACUCAUACGGGAGGCAGCAGUGGGGAAUAUUGGACAAUGGGCGAAAGCGUGAUCCAGAAAUGCCGCGGGAGUGAUGAAGGCAUUAGGGUUGUAAAGCUCUUUUAGCCGGGAUGAUAAUGACAGUACCGGGAGAAUAAGCUCCGGCUAACUCCGUG